rnacentral:rRNA from 1 species
GACGAACGCUGGCGGCGUGCCUAAUACAUGCAAGUCGAGCGGAUCUUCAUUAGCUUGCUUUUGAAGAUCAGCGGCGGACGGGUGAGUAACACGUGGGCAACCUGCCUGUAAGACUGGGAUAACUUCGGGAAACCGGAGCUAAUACCGGAUAAUCCUUUUCCUCUCAUGAGGAAAAGCUGAAAGACGGUUUCGGCUGUCACUUACAGAUGGGCCCGCGGCGCAUUAGCUAGUUGGUGAGGUAACGGCUCACCAAGGCGACGAUGCGUAGCCGACCUGAGAGGAUGAUCGGCCACACUGGGACUGAGACACGGCCCAGACUCCUACGGGAGGCAGCAGUAGGGAAUCUUCCGCAAUGGACGAAAGUCUGACGGAGCAACGCCGCGUGAGCGAUGAAGGCCUUCGGGUCGUAAAGCUCUGUUGUCAGGGAAGAACAAGUAUCGGAGUAACUGCCGGUACCUUGACGGUACCUGACCAGAAAGCCACGGCUAACUACGUGCCAGCAGCCGCCGCGGUAA